AAGAAUUUAGUGGAAGCCUCAAAUCAGGCCAAACAACAUUCAAAUCUUCAAAUUUCGUCGAAUGCGUCCGAGUUAUACUUAAACAAUCCGAAAUGGUGUCAAAUUUUGCGCACAAGUCACAAACCACUACACGAACCUAUUCUAAGGCUUGAAACCCCAAACGAAUAUCGAUAACCUCAAAAUCCACUUCAAACCAAACUUAAGAAAUUGUUAAACUUUCAAAAUGGCAACUUUCCACAACAAGCGCCUAAAUCCUUCUGGACCACACGGAUACUAAACCCGAACAUACGCUCAAGUUCGAAAUCAUCACACAAACCUAUUGGACUCUUCAAAUCCUGAUUCCGAGGUCGUUUACUCAAAAGUCAAACCUUAGUGAAUUCUUCCAACUUAAAACUUUCGAAAUUAGAAUUUUCCAUCUGAAUCAACUAUGAACUUCCCGAAAUUCAACUCCGAUCAUGGUACAAGUCAUAAUACAUGAAGAGAUGCUACUCUAGGUGUCAAACCCCCAAGCAACGCGCUAAAGCUCAAAACGAUUGUCUGGUCAUUGCAUAUCAUGUGCUUAAGUUUGAUUGUCUUGAUAGGAUGCAUGAUUACAGAGAAUUGGACAUUCUGAAUUCUAUUUUUACUGCUUUACUUGUCUACUUUAAGAAAUAACUCCCCAUGAAUCAAGCAUGAAAUCUGUUCCAUGACUUAAAGAUCAUGAUUAUAGGAUUAACUAUUGGUAUUCCUUAUGAGCUUUGAACAUGAAUUGGAAAUAACCAUAAUCUUGAUUAAUGUACUUGUCAACACAUUUACAUCACUGUCUCAAUAUUACGUAAGUCUUGUUUGACUUACGAUUUCAUAACUUAAAUCCAUUGUGUGUAUAAAGUUAUACUUAUGUGAUGAGAGUCAUGUUAAGAGGAUGUUUUAUGGUAUAUGCCAUUGUGAUAAUGCUUUGAUUCAUUUACUUAGAUCCAUUGUGUAUAAAAAGUUAUACUUAUGUGAUGAGAGUAAAAAGUAAAAAGUCAAUUUGUAAAAAGUCAAUUUGUGUA
rnacentral:lncRNA from 1 species